UACGUAGGGUGCAAGCGUUAAUCGGAAUUACUGGGCGUAAAGCGUGCGCAGGCGGUGAUGUAAGACAGAUGUGAAAUCCCCGGGCUCAACCUGGGAACUGCAUUGUGACUGCAUCGCUGGAGUGCGGCAGAGGGGGAUGGAAUUCCGCGUGUAGCAGUGAAAUGCGUAGAUAUGCGGAGGAACACCGAUGGCGAAGGCAAUCCCCUGGGCCUGCACUGACGCUCAUGCACGAAAGCGUGGGGAGCAAACAGG
rnacentral:rRNA from 1 species